CUGGUGGUAUGGAUGCGAACUACAAAUAAAAUGUUAUUUACUAUCAUAAUACUUUACUACAAACGAUAAAAACUAACAAUUUCUGCAAAAAUAAUUUUAUCCCGCAAUUUGUUCUAAACUGCCCAUUGUGCACUGACAGCAAACGGUCUCGUGGGUGUAGUAACCCUUGAUGUCGGAAGAUCUGCAACGGAUUGUUGCACCAGUGUAGGUUUGGCCUUGAAACACUUGUGACACCGAUGGAAAACCAACUUCGUCAAAUUACGGCCACCGAUUAUCCAGAAGCGUUCACAAAGUAUGGAUAACAAGUGUUCCGGAACGGUGUGCAUAUACUUCUGGUGAUACGCGACUGCUAACAAUGCAGCGAGUGGGUGUUUUGCAGAAAGAAGUAUAGGAUGCUUCGCGUAUUCUGCUAUUUGUGCGUUGUGAAGCCGGCCACCAACACGCAGGAUUCCCGCCUCAUCAAUAAAGGGGGACAACCAUUUCACCUUUGAAUUGCGUGGUAGAUCCUUGCCGUUUUUAACCACGGGUAAAUCAUCCGCAAAUGAAUCUUGCUGAGCUAACCGACACAACUGAAGCUCAGCUUGGAUGAGUUCGUCUCGAGAUGGAGGUGCAUUCAAUAUAAUAAUGUCCUGAAUCGAAGCAUGACCCUUCGCUGUCGGUGACGUAAUUGCGGGUUUCGGUGUCCUCAUGCAUUGCACGAAACGUUAACAAUACGCCAUGGUUCGACGAAGUUUGAGGUUCUCUUAUAGGCCAUUCUUCCUGUUUGCUGCUCAACCAAUGAGGCCCAUGCCACCAUCGUUCACAGGAUUGCAAUUUGUCUGGUAGUAGACCUCGCGAUGCAUCGUCUGCUGGGUUGACUACACCAGGAACAUGCCUCCAGCACUUGAUCCGGGUUUCUCCUUGAAUUUGUGCCACCCUGUUGGCAACGAAAGGCUUCCACCUCCGUGGUGCUGAAUUGAGCCAAUGUAGCACGGUCAUGGAAUCAGUCCAAGCGAAAGCAUCGUAUUCGCCGUUGAGGGACUGACUGACCUUCCGGAACA